AUUGAACGCUGGCGGCAUGCUUUACACAUGCAAGUCGAACGGCAGCACAGGGAGCUUGCUCCCGGGUGGCGAGUGGCGCACGGGUGAGUAAUACAUCGGAACGUGUCCUGUUGUGGGGGAUAACUGCUCGAAAGGGUGGCUAAUACCGCAUGAGACCUGAGGGUGAAAGCGGGGGAUCGCAAGACCUCGCGCAAUUGGAGCGGCCGAUGCCCGAUUAGCUAGUUGGUGAGGUAAAGGCUCACCAAGGCGACGAUCGGUAGCUGGUCUGAGAGGACGACCAGCCACACUGGGACUGAGACACGGCCCAGACUCCUACGGGAGGCAGCAGUGGGGAAUUUUGGACAAUGGGGGCAACCCUGAUCCAGCCAUGCCGCGUGCAGGAUGAA
rnacentral:rRNA from 1 species